ACUUUCUUGUACAUGAAAUCGAUAUAUACGUUAUUUCCUCGGCUGUACAGAGGCCGGGGUGUGGGUGGCUGUUUAUUUACUUAACUGCAGAGCGUACCAGGCAUCCAAGAGGUAUAAAAAUGAGGACUUCAGGCCUCUGCCCCCAUGGAAAGGGUAUUUGUCAAUCACAGAUGGAAUACUACAACGUGAGGCUAUGCCACCAUGCUACAACUUCAGGAAACAACGCAACACAAAAAUCCUUGUCAUUGUCCCUUGUUGACGAAUAAAUCAUCUAUAUAGCUAGCUAGCUAGCUAGAUACAAAGUAAAAAAGUUUUACGCCGGAUGCCCUUCCUGAUGCAGCCCCUCUUGGGGGGUGGAGGCCCCCAGUGGGAUACGAACUCACGACCCCUGGAUUACUAAACCAACGCUCUAACACUUAGCUAUGACCGGCUUUGAAUUCAUCCAUUAACUGACCACGUUAUUUAUAAA